UGAAGGCAAUUAAACACUAAAUAUUACUUACAAGCUAAAUGAUAUAUGAAUAUAUUACUCACAAAUACAAAUUAAAUAGUUUUCUUUUCAGAUAGUAGCCAAGUAAAGGCUUCUAAAAAUAGCCUACUACAGAUAUUUUUAUGAAGUAAUUAAUGUAAAAAUAAUCUUCACUCUAUACAUUAAAUAUAGAUGAUUCUUAUUUAAGUUAAUAAGUGAUUCAGUCAAGAGCAGUUUUCCUUUCUUUUGUUUUUGGGGGCAAUGACAACAAUACUCCACUACAACAGCAGCUCCCUCUCGACCGACGAAAACCUAGAGCUGCAAAAGUGAAAACGCAGAAUAAGACCCCUUUUAAAUACACUGAGGUGUUAAAGUAAUGUGAUGAUCAUGUUUACACUUUACUCACAACGCAAUCCUCAAGUAUGGCAGUCUUUUUUGUUCUGUUGGUUUUUUCAACUUCUGCUCUAUUGAAGCGCUUGGAGCAAUUGUUAUGAUGUUCCCGUAGUUUGACCAAUCUUGACUGAAACCUCUCCUGCUGACAUAUAAGGACAUAUUUAAAUUACAACAAGUAUGAGAUCUAACAAAAACACUACAGAAGUGAACAAAAAGUAAACAUAAAAAUAUAUAAAAAUCAUUAAAAGCACUUCCAGAAUAUAAGAGAAAUUAAUGCUUAAUCGAAUUGUUCAAAAUAAUUUCUUAAACCAAAUGUUUUAAAACUUGUCGAAUAACAUUUGGUUGACUAAGGACAAUAUCUAAAUGAUUUUCAAAGAGAGGUAAUUAUAGAGAGCAUACAAAGUAUACAACAAUACCUGUCUUUUUCUUGAUGAACGCUGCCUCACAGGUGAGGAUGAGGAUGAUGUAGCAGUCACAGGGGCAGGUGAUGAACUUUUCCUCACAGGUGAGGAUGAGGAUGAUGUAGCAGUAACAGGAGCAGGUGAUGAACGUUUCCUCACAGGUGAGGAUGAGGAUGAUGUAGCAGUCACAGGGGCAGGUGAUGAACUUUUCCUCACAGGUGAGGAUGAGGAUGAUGUAGCAGUCACAGGGGCAGGUGAUGAACUUUUCCUCACAGGUGAGGAUGAAGAUGAUGUAGCAGUCACACGAGCAGGUGAUGAACUUUUCCUCACAGGUGAGGAUGAGGAUGAGGAUGAUGUAGCAGUAACAGGGGCAGAUGAUGAACGCUGCCUCACAGGUGAGGAUGAGGAUGAUGUAGCAGUCACAGGGGUAGGUGAUGAACGUUUCCUCACAGGUGAGGAUGAGGAUGAUGUAGCAGUCACAGGGGCAGAUGAUGAACUUUUCCUCACAGGUGAGGAUGAGGAUGAUGUAGCAGUCACAGGGGCAGGUGAUGAACGUUUCCUCACAGGUGAGGAUGAGGAUGAUGUAGCAGUCACAGGGGCAGGUGAUGAACUUUUCCUCACAGGUGAGGAUGAGGAUGAUGUAGCAGUCACAGGGGCAGGUGAUGAACGUUUCCUCACAGUUGAGGAUGAGGAUGAUGUAGCAGUCACAGGGGCAGGUGAUGAACUUUUCCUCACAGAUGAGGAUGAGGAUGAUGUAGCAGUAACAGGGGCAGGUGAUGAACUUUUCCUCACAGGUGAGGAUGAGGAUGAGGAUGAUGUAGCAGUCACAGGAGCAGGUGAUGAACGCUUGGCUUGCCAAUCCCAGUCUCCAUAGCUGUAAGUAAUCUCUUCUCCUGGUUUAAUGUCUCGGACAGCAAAAAGACAAAGAUGUGGUUGCUGCAGAUAUCAAGGUUAUAUUUUCACACAAUGUUCUUUACAUUAUGUAAGAUGAUUUUAUGUAUUAAAAAAAAAAGAAAAAAAAAAGUAUAUCAGAAAGAAAUGACUUUAGCUGAAUUUGUACAUGCGUGUUCACAUUUCAUACAUAAAUAUAUUUGGAUUCUGUGCAUCUAUGGUUUAAAUAUACAAUACAUAUAAAAUAUGUCCCCAAUUUUCCCACUAGGGAAUAUCUGCGAUAAUAAUAAGUGAUCCAACCAUUAAACAACGAAAAAUUAAUUAUUUUAAUUACAGUCUAUUACAGCUAAUUAACAGAAUAUUAGAAUACUUUACAACACCAUAUUUUGUAGAUAAUCAUAAUUUAUACUUAAUCGUUUAUUGACAGGAUUAUAUUACACAACACGUGACCCGUGAGAAACCAUUAACUCAACUUGACUCAAGUCCUAUUAAUAUGUCAUCUGACCAAUUAUAUCUACUAUCACAAAUGAUAUCCAUAAAGAAACAAAUAUCUGUACAACAAAUCAUCAAAUGGCAUGAAAGAUGCCAUUUAUUUGGACAAGGAAACAAAUUCCUUAACAUAAUAUAUACUUAUCAACGAAAUUAAAAUCCUACUAAAAUUUACCUUUAAUAUUUUCAAUUUCGUUGUCAUAAAUUAUAGAUCAGAAGCUGUAUUUACAGUAACGUUAUAUGAUCACAACUCACCUCUGCUCUUUAAUCGCAGCGUAGGUCUUUCGCGGGAAAUUGAGGAUAAAUGAGGUGAUGUCAUCGGCACGUGUCAUCCGCCGACAUGUGUAUGUAAAUGACGUUGUGGCGUUUUUGGAUUGCACAUUGAAGUUGUGCGUCCGUCUAUUUGUAUUUAAAAUAAACAGCAGUAAAGCACUUACACCUCAUAAACACCUUUUCCUAUCAAUUAAUUACUUAACAAAGCUGUAAAGAGACGCCUAAAAUAUAAAGCAAAAAAAAGAAUAAUAAUAAUUAUAAAAGCGAAUACAUCUUGUGUUGUGUUCUUCCAGCUGUAUUGCGCAGACCGAACGUCACGUGACAGACAAUUAUCGCGAGUGUUCCGA
ensembl:lncRNA